rnacentral:rRNA from 1 species
CCUACGGGAGGCAGCAGUGAGGAAUAUUGGACAAUGGAUGGAAAUCUGAUCCAGCCAUGCCGCGUGCAGGAAGAAUGUCCUAUGGAUUGUAAACUGCUUUUGUAUGGGAGCAAUAAGGUAUUCGUGAAUACCGAUGAGAGUACCAUACGAAUAAGCACCGGCUAACUCCGUGCCAGCAGCCGCGGUAAUACGGAGGGUGCAAGCGUUAUCCGGAUUUAUUGGGUUUAAAGGGUGCGUAGGCGGUUAUAUAAGUCAGCGGUGAAAUUUUUCGGCUCAACCGGAAACAUGCCGUUGAUACUGUAUAGCUUGAAUAUGGUUGCUGUGAGUGGAAUGUGUAGUGUAGCGGUGAAAUGCUUAGAUAUUACACAGAAUAUCGAUUGCGAAGGCAACUCACAAAGCCAUUAUUGACGCUGAGGCACGAAAGUGUGGGGAUCAAACA